rnacentral:lncRNA from 1 species
AUUCUGACUAUGAUCAGAGGGAUCAGAGGGUCGUCGAUGGGAUGCGACAUAGUUAUGUGCUCUCAUUCUUGUUAUGCUCUCUUUCUUCCUUGAUCAGACUAUUGGCCCUUUCUUUAACACUAAUUUAUUACUGCAAGACUAUAGUUUGAGGCUAAUGUGGUUGAGGUCAGACUCCUUCUCACCCGAGGCUCAAUGUUGAUCCGAUGAUGGGGUGCAUCUAGGAGAACUUGCAAAGAAAGCCUACUCUUGUCGGGAGUUCUCUGGGGUAAGUCUCUGAUGCUUAAGUCAGUCGGAGCUUGAAAAUGAUAGAGGAAAAAGAGAGAGGAAGAGCAAGAGUGACUA